rnacentral:rRNA from 1 species
GAUGAACGCUGGCGGCGUGCCUAAUACAUGCGAGUCGAGCGAACGGACGAGAAGCUUGCUUCUCUGAUGUUAGCGGCGGGCGGGUGAGUAACACGUGGAUAACCUACCUAUAAGACUGGGAUAACUUCGGGAAACCGUAGCUAAUACCGGAUAAUAUUUUGAACCGCAUGGUUCAAAAGUGAAAGACGGUCUUGCUGUCACUUAUAGAUGGAUCCGCGCUGCAUUAGCUAGUUGGUAAGGUAACGGCUUACCAAGGCAACGAUGCAUAGCCGACCUGAGAGGGUGAUCGGCCACACUGGAACUGAGACACGGUCCAGACUCCUACGGGAGGCAGCAGUAGGGAAUCUUCCGCAAUGGGCGAAAGCCUGACGGAGCAACGCCGCGUGAGUGAUGAAGGUCUUCGGAUCGUAAAACUCUGUUAUUAGGGAAGAACAUAUGUGUAAGUAACUGUGCACAUCUUGACGGUACCUAAUCAGAAAGCCACGGCUAACUACGUG